CCUACGGGAGGCUGCAGUGGGGAAUAUUGCGCAAUGGGCGAAAGCCUGACGCAGCGACGCCGCGUGAGGGAUGACGGUCCUAGGGUCGUAAACCUCUGUUAGCAGGGAAGAACGGUCACUGUGCUAAGCAUCAGUGAAUUGACGGUACCUGCAAAGGAAGCAUCGGCUAACUCCGUGCCAGCAGCCGCGGUAAUACGGAGGGUGCGAGCGUUAAUCGGAUUUAGUGGGUGUAAAGGGCUCGUAGAUGGUAUGUCAAGUCAAUGGUGAAAGCGCGCGGCGCAACGUGAGAAAUGCAUUUGAUACUGGCAAACUUGAGUGUAUGAGAGGAUGGUGGAAUUCGAGGUGUAGGAGUGAAAUGCGUAGAUAUCAGGAAGAAC
rnacentral:rRNA from 1 species